rnacentral:lncRNA from 1 species
UCGUAUUUGCUCCAGGAUUUGAAAGCCAGAAUUUCCCCAAUCCAGGAGACCAUUCCUUGAAUGUUCAAGCCCUUCUCGGACAUCUUCAGACAUUGUGGCUUCGGUAUAAGGAGAAUCCAGGUGCAUCCAGCACCAGCUGCAGCUGAGGAAAGUGGCAGAAACCGGGGAGGCCGCCGUGAACCUCUGACUUUGGAGCCUGCCCACCUGGACGAGCUCACAGAGGAAGUACAUCGUGCCUGCAGCCCAACUGCCCACCCACCAGGUGCCAGCUGAGCACACUCCUGAUGCGAUCAUUAUCCUCACAGUGCCUGGCCAUGAAGGUGCCAUCAUUUCCAGGGGGCAGAUGAGAGAGAGUAAACAACUUGCUUAGGUCAACAUGGAAACAUUUCUAACAUCAGUCUGUCUUAUUCCGGGCCAGAAUUGGAUAAGCUCCUCUCAGUGUUGGAGGGGUGUGUGUUUUACCCACCCCAUCCAGGCACAUCCCUGGAUAAAAGCCACUGCUAGCUACCAUUCCUUCGAUAGGGUGUGCUGAUAAAUCCAUCCAACUUUAUGCUGCUUUAUGCUGCCAACAGAAUCCAAAGAACAAAAGGGAAAAUGUGCUUGCUAGCUUUUUGCUUGUUUGUUUGGUUUGUGUAUUUGUCAUAAUAACAACUCCCUUCACCUUCUCACACAAUAAUGAAGCACCUGGCCACAGCAAAACCCAUGAUCAAGUCCCUGCUCUGUCUGGCUGGCCAGCAUC